rnacentral:rRNA from 1 species
AGUCGGACGGGAUCUAGAUCUAAGCUUGCUUAGAUUUAGUGAGAGUGGCGCACGGGUGCGUAACGCGUGAGCAACCUACCCAUAUCAGGGGGAUAGCCCGGAGAAAUCCGGAUUAACACCGCAUGACACAACGACUCGGCAUCGAGAUGUUGUUAAAUAUUUAUAGGAUAUGGAUGGGCUCGCGUGACAUUAGCUAGUUGGUAAGGUAACGGCUUACCAAGGCUACGAUGUCUAGGGGCUCUGAGAGGAGAAUCCCCCACACUGGUACUGAGACACGGACCAGACUCCUACGGGAGGCAGCAGUAAGGAAUAUUGGUCAAUGGAGGGAACUCUGAACCAGCCAUGCCGCGUGCAGGAUGACUGCCCUAUGGGUUGUAAACUGCUUUUGUCCAGGAAUAACCACCACUACGUGUAGUGGCUUGAAUGUACUGGAAGAAUAAGGAUCGGCUAACUCCGUGCCAGCAGCCGCGGUAAUACGGAGGAUCCGAGCGUUAUCCGGAUUUAUUGGGUUUAAAGGGUGCGUAGGCGGCUCAUUAAGUCAGGGGUGAAAGACGGCAGCUCAACUGUCGCAGUGCCUUUGAUACUGAUGAGCUUGAAUGUGGUUGAAGAUGGCGGAAUGAGACAAGUAGCGGUGAAAUGCAUAGAUAUGUCUCAGAACUCCGAUUGCGAAGGCAGCUGUCUAAGUCAUUAUUGACGCUGAUGCACGAAAGCGUGGGGAUCGAACAGGAUUAGAUACCCUGGUAGUCCACGCCCUAAACGAUGAUAACUCGAUGUUGGCGAUACACAGUCAGCGUCUUAGCGAAAGCGUUAAGUUAUCCACCUGGGGAGUACGCCCGCAAGGGUGAAACUCAAAGGAAUUGACGGGGGCCCGCACAAGCGGAGGAGCAUGUGGUUUAAUUCGAUGAUACGCGAGGAACCUUACCCGGGCUUGAAAGUUACUGAAUUAUCUAGAGAUAGAUAAGUCCUUCGGGACAGGAAACUAGGUGCUGCAUGGCUGUCGUCAGCUCGUGCCGUGAGGUGUUGGGUUAAGUCCCGCAACGAGCGCAACCCCUAUGUUUAGUUGCCAGCAUGUAAUGAUGGGGACUCUAAACAGACUGCCAGCGUAAGCUGUGAGGAAGGUGGGGACGACGUCAAGUCAUCAUGGCCCUUACGUCCGGGGCUACACACGUGCUACAAUGGAUGGUACAGCGGGCAGCUACCUGGUAACAGGAUGCUAAUCUCGAAAAGCCAUUCACAGUUCGGAUUGAGGUCUGCAACUCGACCUCAUGAAGUUGGAUUCGCUAGUAAUCGCGUAUCAGCAAUGACGCGGUGAAUACGUUCCCGGGCCUUGUACACACCGCCCGUCAAGCCAUGAAAGUUGGGGGUGCCUAAAGCAUGUAACCGCAAGGAGC